CUCCUCUCCAAGCUUUAGCUUGCUGGGAGUGUGUUCUGCUUUUCUAACUGAUUCUCCUCUCUCUCUGGCUGCUGGCCCUUUUUAAAAUGGGUUGUUAUUUUUUUCUGUGGGCUCAUAGGUCUCAGGGUUUGGUGGCUUGUGUGUUCUAAGUGGCGGGAGCCCCAUGGGUGGCAGAAGGUCCCCACAGACUGAAUUGUAGAAGCCGCCAGCCCCCUGCUAAUCACCUGUAGGAAACUCCCCAAACUUCUCACACUGCCCCAGCUUCCAGGUAGAGGACUCAGUCUCCCAUUCAGCUCCUCCUUGGCCCCUUCAGCUAGGAAAACCCAGCACAGUCACACUAGGCUUGUGUUGACAUUAGCCCUGACAGCCCCUCUCCACUCAGGAUUGACUGUCUUCCCUUGUUCACCUUUGACAUUAUUCUCUAGGCACCUGCCCAGCCCACUGGAAGAAGGAAGCUUACAAUUCUGUAUGCUUGGAACCCACCAAAGCCUGAGGCCUCACUGGCACCCAGCCAUCCACAGGAGUUAGCAGCUGUUUGAGUCCAGAAGGAAGAACUUUUGGAGUCGGAGACAAAUAAUGUUCACCACUCCACUUCCUUGUUCCUUCACACCUGCUACUUUGGAUUCAGACGAGAAGUUCCAAGAAUCCCUGAGUCCACAGCAUGACUCUGGUUUGCAGAACCUCUGUCCAGACCAGCCAGAUCAGAAUACAAAGGAAAGUGACACAUCCUGGAUCUCAACCCACUUCGAUGGGAAGUCUUCCUGAUAAAUUUAGAGAUAACCUAAAGCCCUUGGGGACUUCCUCUUGAUUUGAAUCUGCUGAACACCUGCCGCACCCCCACCGCACCCCCCCCCCCCGCCCCCCGCCACCGCAGAUGAAAACAUCAACUCUGCAGAAUUAAUGGAUAUGGGAAUCACCUGGGGACCUCUCAUUAAAUUGCAAAUUAUGAUUCAGAGGGUCUGGGGAGGGACAGAGACUCUGCAUUUCUAACAAGCUCUCCGGUGGUGCCCACGCAUCACCGGGGCCGGAGAACCUUCCAUCAUUCCAGCAAUGCUCACCAUCACUGCCAUUCUUGCUCUUCUUUCUGGGGCCGUUGCCCAUUUUCUCCAUGGUAUCCUUCUUUUUUCCUAUUCUUUUCCUCUUUUAAUCCUUUUUUUCUUCCCAGCCAACUCACUAUUCCUAUAUCCCUGCUAACCCUCAAUGCUCCUUCACUCAAAGAUGAAGAAACUCCUGCCCUUUCUUCCUCCAGACAUUCAUCUCCCUCCCUCCCUCCUCUCCUCAGCUUUGUAGUGCCAGGAAAAGAAAGAUCACCAUUUACUGACAAUUUUGUGUGAAGCACUGUCCCAAGUGCAUUACCCAUAUUACUUAACUCUCACAACAACCCUGCAAAGUACACAUUAUUUCUGCCAUUUUAGACAUGAGAAAAUUGGGACUUGGGGUGGUUAAAGAAAUCUUGUCCUCAACCAGGAAGUAGUGAUCUGAGAUUAGAAUUUAGAUCUGUCUGAGGCCAAAGUCUACAACUUCUAUACUGCACCAUGCUCAUAUAAGGUGAACAAUCUAGAAGGCAGCUGGUAGGAGUGGCUUCAGUAAAAAGGAAUGGAAUACCACGAGCUUCACCCCAUUUAUGCAUCCUGAACCCUUCACUCCACUUUUGUUAAGUACAUGCCCUAUGAGACGGUUUGACAUACCAAUAAUGAGAGCUGUUUCAAGAAUGCCCAGAUUAGCUAGGAUGGUUGGGACCUAAAUAGCACAGUAGUAAUAUUAAAGCCCAAAGUUGCCAAUAUGCUCAAUUUUCAAUGUAACCUUUUAUUAUAAAUUAAGACCCAUAACUGUACACACAGAGUCUGUUACCAAAAAAGAAAUUCCUUCCAUUGGCCAAUUAUUC
rnacentral:lncRNA from 10 species